UCUUUGCUAGUAUAUCGGUUAGUACACGCGCUUGUCAUAAUUAUCAACAGGACCCCUUACGCGCGAAAGCUGGGUUCGACUCCCAGGCAGAGAG